AACGUAGGUGGCAAGCGUUAUCCGGAUUUACUGGGCGUAAAGGGUGUGCAGGCGGACCACUAAGUGGUGUAUGAAAUCGCUCGGCUCAACCGGGCGGGGUUAUGCCAGACUGGUGGUCUAGAGGACGAGAGAGGGACAUGGAAUUCCGGGUGUAGUGGUGAAAUGCGUAGAGAUCCGGAGGAACCCCAGAGGCGAAGGCGGUGUCCUGGCUCGUACCUGACGCUCAUCCACGAAAGCAUGGGGAGCGAACGGG
rnacentral:rRNA from 1 species